rnacentral:rRNA from 1 species
UGGGGAAUCUUGCGCAAUGGACGAAAGUCUGACGCAGCCACGCCGCGUGAGUGAAGAAGGCCUUCGGGUUGUAAAGCUCUGUCACCUGGGACGAAAACACUGACGGUGAAUAGCCGUCGGAAUUGACGGUACCAGGGGAGGAAGCACCGGCUAACUUCGUGCCAGCAGCCGCGGUAAUACGAAGGGUGCAAGCGUUGCUCGGAAUUAUUGGGCGUAAAGGGUUGGUAGGUGGUCUUGUUUGUCUAAGGUGAAAUCCCAUGGCUUAACUGUGGAAGUGCCUUAGAAACGGCAAGACUAGAGUCCUAGAGGGGUUUGUGGAAUUCCCGGUGUAGCGGUGAAAUGCGUAGAGAUCGGGAGGAACACCAGCGGCGAAGGCGGCAAACUGGAUAGGCACUGACACUCAACAACGAAAGCGUGGGGAGCAAACAG